rnacentral:rRNA from 1 species
AGUGAACGCUGGCGGUAGGCCUAACACAUGCAAGUCGAACGGCAGCACAGGAGAGCUUGCUCUCUGGGUGGCGAGUGGCGGACGGGUGAGGAAUACAUCGGAAUCUACUCUGUCGUGGGGGAUAACGUAGGGAAGCUUACGCUAAUACCGCAUACGACCUACGGGUGAAAGCAGGGGACCUUCGGGCCUUGCGCGAUUGAAUGAGCCGAUGUCGGAUUAGCUAGUUGGCGGGGUAAAGGCCCACCAAGGCGACGAUCCGUAGCUGGUCUGAGAGGAUGAUCAGCCACACUGGAACUGGGACACGGUCCAGACUCCUACGGGAAGCAGCAGUGGGGAAUAUUGGACAAUGGGCGCAAGCCUGAUCCAGCCAUACCGCGUGGGUGAAGAAGGCCUUCGGGUUGUAAAGCCCUUUUGUUGGGAAAGAAAUCCAGCUGGCUAAUACCCGGUUGGGAUGACGGUACCCAAAGAAUAAGCACCGGCUAACUUCGUGCCAGCCGCCGCAGUAA